rnacentral:rRNA from 1 species
CCUACGGGUGGCAGCAGUGAGGAAUAUUGGUCAAUGGCCGUAAGGCUGAACCAGCCAAGUAGCGUGAGGGAAGACUGCCCUAUGGGUUGUAAACCUCUUUUAUGCGGGGAUAAAGGUGUCCACGUGUGCCUUUUUGUAUGUACUUUAUGAAUAAGGAUCGGCUAACUCCGUGCCAGCAGCCGCGGUAAUACGGAGGAUCCGAGCGUUAUCCGGAUUUAUUGGGUUUAAAGGGAGCGUAGAUGGGUUGUUAAGUCAGUUGUGAAAGUUUGCGGCUCAACCGUAAAAUUGCAAUUGAUACUGGCAGUCUUGAGUACAGUUGAGGUAGGCGGAAUUCGUGGUGUAGCGGUGAAAUGCUUAGAUAUCACGAAGAACUCCGAUUGCGAAGGCAGCUUACUAAACUGCCACUGACAUUGAUGCUCGAAAGUGUGGGUAUCAAACAGGAUUAGAUACCCCAGUAGUC